ACCAUGUGCGGUUUGUUAUGAGGAGGAACGGGUUGGGAUUUGCCAAGGAGUGAGAAUUUGCGGUACAUGCAAAGUCAGAUUCGAUUAUGCUAUAAGAGAUUUUUAUGAUCCAAUAUGCUACAAUGAAGGAGUCUGUGCAAAUUCCAGAUUAAUCUUCCUUUGUGAGUACUGUCGACUGAACAGGUGCUACGAACUGGGAAUGAAGUUUAUAGAUCAAUACGAUAAAAAUUGCUUCUAUCGUGAUAUACAGCUAAGAUUAGCUAGAGAACAUGGGAUAUCAAAGUAGAUGGUGAGGAUAAAUGGGAGAUGUUAACUAAAGAAUUCGUACCUCUUAGAUAUUCUUUUCUCAGUUGGAUUUCUGGACAUCCCGAAUUUCAGGAACUAAGACCUGGAUUUCAAAAAGGGAAGAGGAGUUCCGAUGAUUUCGUCGAUUUUUCUUAAUGACUGAAGACUACAAAUUAAGUGUUCCUACAAUAUUUCUGAUUUUAACCAAUGACUGACUGUUGGACUUUAUUAUCUAGUUCUUAAUAAUAGUGAAUAAUUUCAUCUUUACGAUGGCGUAUACUGUACAACGCUGUUUUUAUAUUCUUUUUACUCUGAUCGGU